GAAGAACGUAGAAAAGAACAAAUAAUAUGAUAUUAAACACAUGUAAAAAUAUCAUCAGGUUAUCAGCUAUAAAAGAAUACACUGCACUCGUAUUAAGGAAAAUGGAUUUAUAAAAAAAAA